rnacentral:lncRNA from 1 species
GUGUGUUCUAACCUGGGAAACCCCAUUGAUCCUAUCAGUAUCUCCAAGUGCAGGUUCUGAGUGGAUUUCAUCUUGGUCAGCAUGUGGACACAGAGGAAUGACAGCGAGAUGGUGAGCCUCACACUGGCAUGGGCACAUCUGCACAGGCUGUCCCUUGGCCAAAACAACAUAUUCAACCGGUGGCUGUAGAAAUGACAGAGAAGCCUGCUGCCGUCCAUGCAGUCGGGGGAGGAAGCUUGCCAACUGGACUGCAACGCCACUAUUUUUACUGAAUUCUUAAGUGGAAGGCAGAGCUGGUUUUCAUCAGCGUGACUCGUGUAAACACCUGACAGGUUUAUUCUUGUUCUUUUAGUGAGUGGAUAUUUCAGAUGCUCAGUCGUAGUUUCUGGCAUGAUAAAUGCUGAUGGCUAGAACCACUUGAAAGAGAAGGCUUUGUGAUACUCAAUCAUUUUAAGAGCGGCCUGGAGCCUGGGAGCAAAGAAACUGUGCAAUCUUUGAGGAUGAAGGCCCCUCCCCCAUCACAUGACUUACAAUCACCAUGGACAAUUCCCAUGCAAGGGCCCCAAGAACUUCGUGAGGACAUACCUACCACAUCACAGGCUCCAGAGUGGAAAUACUCACUGAUGAUGUAGAAUGACAUGGUUUGUAUGGAAAGUACAGGUGUAUUAAAUAAAAUUU